rnacentral:lncRNA from 1 species
UUUGUAUGAUUCCAAACUAAAAUUAUCACACUUAUUCACUACUUGUGGCAUAGGAGUAGAAGAAUCAUCAGCAUAUAAGUCCUCUUUAUCACAAGGAACAACAAUUAAAUCAUUUUGUGAUAAAGAAAAAUUAGCAGUGGGUUCCACUAUUUAAUGCUCUUCAUUAGCAUGCAGAAUGGACAAAUUUUGGAUAUUAUGGGUCACAUCAUUCUUACAAGUAUUCACAGACAAUAGAAUCUCCUCUUCAGUAUUGAGAGCAAGACAAAACAAUUGACCAAUAUGGCUAUAAGAAUAGCUAAUGAAGAAGGUUCGAAUUUUAGAAUUCAGACCUCCCAUGAACCUACUCAUAACAUCUUCCAUGCAUUCAUCCAAUCCACCGUACAUGAUACAAAUUUUAAAAUAAUGAAAGUAUUCUUUCAC